AUAGAACUCUGGCAGCCGGCUUAACACAUGCAAGUCGAACGAGUGGCGGACGGGCGAGUAAUGCAUGGGAAUCUAGCUUAUGGAGGGGGAUAAAUACGAGAAACUGUAGCUAAUACCGCGUAACAUAGGAUGAGCCAAAGUGGGAUUAGGUAGUUGGUGAGGUAAAGGCGCACCAAGCCGACGAUCUCUAGCUGGUCUGUGAGGAUGACAAGCCACAUUGGGACGGAGCAACUGCCCGGCAUCCUACGGGAUGCAGCAUUGGUGAAUAUUGCGCAAUGGGGGCAACCUGACACAUCCAUGCCGCGUGAAUGAAGAAGGCCUUCGGGUUGUAAAGGUCUUUCGUUAGCGAGGCGUUAACUACACAAGGAGCACCGGCUAACUGCAUGCCAGCAGCCGCGGUAAUUC
rnacentral:rRNA from 1 species